rnacentral:lncRNA from 1 species
AUUGGUCAGUGCUGAGAGAGAACAUUCUGUGGUUUCUAUGGCUGUCUUGUUAUUUGCAGGUGGCCUGUUGUUCAUAGAUACCAAUAGUUUUCACAACUAUCCUGGAGACUACAGGGGAGGUUUUGGUCUCCCCUGGAGUUUCUUUUGUGGCCAAACAGUUCCCAGAAACCAAGUACCUAGGAGGCUGGGGGGUGGGGUGGGUCUGGAGUUUCUUUAUGUUCAGUUUUGGCCCUAGGCUCCCGGAGGCCAGAGGAUCUGGAGUUUCCUUGUGGCUUUUCUGUGGCCUGUCAUGGCUGCUGAAGCAGGGGCUGAGUGAGGGUCUGGUCCCUUCAGUCCUUUGAGUUUAGUUUCCCCUUUCAUUCAUAUCGUUUUUAUUUAUUUAUUUUUUUUCGAGACAUGAUUUCUUUGUGUAGCCCUGGUCAUCUUAAGGCUUGUCUGAAACUCAGAGAUUUGCCUGCCUCUCUCUCCCUGGUGCUGGGAUUGGAUGCAUUCACCACCUGGCUUUUUGUUGUUUUGUUUGUUUGUUUUUGGAGACAGGAUCCCUCUGUGUGGUUCUGGCUGUCCUAAAACUCACUAUGUAGACCAGGCUGAUCUCAAAUUCACAGAGGUCUGCAUGGCUCUGCCUCCUGCAUACUGGGACUGAAGGUGUUCACCAUCAUGCCCAGCCUCCUAUCUGACUUCUUGAAUACACAGAGCUUCUCUGGCCAAGGGAGAAAGAAUCCAGCACUACCAUGAAGGGUUUCUCUGUGUAACAGUCCUGGAAUCCUGGAACUUGUUCUGUAGACCAGACUGGCUUCAAACUCCCAGAGAUCUGCCUGCUUCUGCCUCCCGAGCAUUGGAAUUAAAGACAGCGUCUCACUCUUGACUGGUCUGGAACUUGCUAUGUUGAUCAAGUUGGUCUUGAAUGUGCA